rnacentral:rRNA from 1 species
GACGAACGCUGGCGGCGUGCUUAACACAUGCAAGUCGAACGGAAAGGCCCUGCUUUUGUGGGGUGCUCGAGUGGCGAACGGGUGAGUAACACGUGAGUAACCUGCCCUUGACUUUGGGAUAACUUCAGGAAACUGGGGCUAAUACCGGAUAGGAGCUCCUGCUGCAUGGUGGGGGUUGGAAAGUUUCGGCGGUUGGGGAUGGACGCGCGGCUUAUCAGCUUGUUGGUGGGGUAGUGGCUUACCAAGGCUUUGACGGGUAGCCGGCCUGGGAGGGUGACCGGGCACAAUGGGACUGAGGUACGGACCAGACUCCUACGGGAGGCAGCGGUGGGGAAUAUGGCACAAUGGGCGGAAGCCUGAUGCAGCGACGCCGCGUGCGGGAUGACGGCCUUCGGGUUGUAAACCGCUUUCGCCUGUGACGAAGCGUGAGUGACGGUAAUGGGUAAAGAAGCACCGGCUAACUACGUG